AGCUUUACUGUUCCCUGGGAUUGGCUUUGGGCCUUUCCUGCGCAGCUUAGGUGGAAGGCGAAGAAGGCGCCCUUCGGGGGGCCCGAGCCAUCAGUGAGAUACCACUCUGGAAGAGCUCGGAUUCUAACCUUGUGUCAGACCCGCGGGCCAAGGGACAGUCUUAGGUAGACAGUUUCUAUGGGGCGUAGGCCUCCCAAAAGGUAACGGAGGCGUGCAAAGGUUUCCUCGGGCCAGACGGACAUUGGUCCUCGAGUGCAAAGGCAGAAGGGAUCUUGACUGCUAGACUCACCCUUAUCCAUUAAUAGAUGGAACUUCAACAAUAGCUAAGUCUAGAGGGAAGUU
rnacentral:rRNA from 1 species